GAUGAGGCCGUACUGUCCGCAUCGCCGUACUUGACUAUAGAUGACUAGCGGAUACUCUGCGAGAGAUUUUCGUCUUAGGUUUUUCAGAAGAGGAGCAGAAUAAAUUCUGCGAACAGGAAAAAGUCAUAAGUGAACCACAUAGCUGGUUCAAAGUCAUUUGUACAACAUCGUUACGACAUGCGAGAUUCCGUCACCGGCCAGGAGCCUGGACUAGUAGACCUUUACAGAGGGACUCACUGUUAGCAGAUGACGGGAUCUUGGGUUCAUCCUAGAGCCAGCGAGAAUUAGGCAGCGAUGGACACUAUACGCAAUCACCCCA